ensembl:lncRNA
UAUUGUUCCUCCUCUUCCUUGUGGCAGGCGCAGCAGCACACUGCCCUCCAAAGCCUGCAAAAUAAUCGCCAGACUGCCCCUUUCCUAGCUCUGCAUGGAACAUCCAGUGUCAUGUCCUUGGUGACGUGUGGGGUGACCACAGCAUCAUCCUCUGGAAAGGGAAAAAAGGGGAACAGAUUGAAAACAAAUGCAAUCCGUAGCUUCUAAACACUGGCCAGUUGAAAGGUUCUACUAAGAUGUCAUGACAAACGGCACCUGUCAGAGUGCUCUCUAAGUGUUACUCACCUGCUUGGAUGUCAGCUGGCAGAGUGGCGGAGACGGCCAUCGUGAGAGUCCUUUCUUCAGGUGUGAGGUCCACAACCUCCAAGAGGGAAGAGAUGGGCUCUGCCUCUGUAUUAGGGGUGAUGUCCACCACAUUCAGGUUGGAAGAAGCAGGAUCUGCCUCUGUGUUAGUGGUGAUGUCUUGAACCUCCAGGUGGGAAGAACCCGGAUCUGUCUCUGUGUUAGUGGUGAUGUCCACAACCUCCAGGUGGGAAGAAGCCGGAUCUGCCUCUGUCUUAGGGGUGAUGUCCUCAACCUCCAGGUGGGAAGAAGCCGGAUCUGCCUCUGUCUUAGGGGUGAUGUCCUCAACCUCCAGGUGGGAAGAAGCCGGGUCUGUAUUGUGGGUGAAAACAACAAUCCUGAUGAGCUCUUCUACUACAAUCCGUCAUCAUGAAGUGCUUUGAGAGACUAGUCAAGGACCCGAUCACCUCCACCCUACCUGACACCCUAGACCCACUCCAAUUUGCUUACCGCCCAAAUAGGUCCACAGACGAUGCAAUCUCAACCACACUGCACACUGCCCUAACCCAUCUGGACCAGAGGAA